ACACAGCCUCCCACUGGCAUUCCAGCACUCUGGCCCUGUCAGCCCCUGGACCAGCUCCCAACCUUCCUCCUCACCUCAGCCUGGGUCAAGAGGACUUCCCAAGCUUAGGGAUUCAGUGGGGGUAUAGUAGCAGUCAUAUGCAUGCUGGGACCACGAUGGACAGGCUGCUGCUCCCUGGGCCCCCAGAGGCCGGUCUAUUUGUAUCCUGGCACCAUCUGACUCAGAGGGGCUUCCUUCUCCCUUCAGUCUGCACAGGACGACUAAUCUGUGUCUUUGGGGAUAUCAUGUGUCUAAAAAGGGAACCGUAAACAGCUUGAUGGUUUGGAGAGGAGAGGGGGUAUUUGAAGGAGUGAGACAGCCAGUGGUCUUAAGCCCCUGAAGAGAGAACCUGAGGGCCAUGUAGGAUUCUGGGCUGGAAGAAGAGCUGGGCAGGGUGCACUGUGGGCAGUGUCCUGGGCAGGAAUGAACCAUGAAGAUUGGGACAGACCGUGGCCAGUGU